GGGAGCGUCACUUGACACGGCUCUGCAAGCCCUGUGAAGAUUGUUAAUUGAUCCUCCAAAAGCUUGUACUUGCUUACAUAAACUGUGGCUGUUCACAGAAGUCGGCAUAUAGCAUUUGUGUCAAGUGUGUAGGGAUCUCAUAAAAAAGAAACUCCACAUUUGGCAACAAGGAUGGGAUUCCAAUAUAUCUAUGGAACUUCAAAGUGGACUGAAUAAGUGAUCAUCUGUGUGAGGGUGACUUGAGAUGGAUGGGCUUACAAGUGGAUUAUGACAGCUGGUUUGAUCAUGUUAGGAACUGAUAUGAUCACAGGCAUGAAUUCAACAUUACGUUUCAGUCAUAUGAAGAGAUGACCAAGGAUUUGAGAGUAGCAGUACUGAAAUUCAUCAACUUUCUUGGAAGAUCUCUGGAUAAUAAAAGUGUUGACAUAAUUGUGGAGUGCUCUACUUUUAAGAAUAUGAAAUCAAACCCAAAAUCAAACUACGAAA